rnacentral:rRNA from 1 species
AGAGUUUGAUCAUGGCUCAGAUUGAACGCUGGCGGCAUGCCUUACACAUGCAAGUCGAACGGCAGCACGAGAGCUUGCUCUUGGUGGCGAGUGGCGAACGGGUGAGUAAUAUAUCGGAACGUACCCUAGAGUGGGGGAUAACGUAGCGAAAGUUACGCUAAUACCGCAUACGAUCUACGGAUGAAAGUGGGGGAUCGCAAGACCUCAUGCUCAUGGAGCGGCCGAUAUCUGAUUAGCUAGUUGGUGGGGUAAAAGCUCACCAAGGCGACGAUCAGUAGCUGGUCUGAGAGGACGACCAGCCACACUGGAACUGAGACACGGUCCAGACUCCUACGGGAGGCAGCAGUGGGGAAUUUUGGACAAUGGGCGCAAGCCUGAUCCAGCAAUGCCGCGUGAGUGAAGAAGGCCUUCGGGUUGUAAAGCUCUUUUGUCAGGGAAGAAACGGUGGACUCUAAUACAGAUCACUAAUGACGGUACCUGAAGAAUAAGCACCGGCUAGCUACGUGCCAGCAGCCGCGGUAAUACGUAGGGUGCAAGCGUUAAUCGGAAUUACUGGGCGUAAAGCGUGCGCAGGCGGUUGUGCAAGACAGAUGUGAAAUCCCCGGGCUCAACCUGGGAAUUGCAUUUGUGACUGCACGGCUAGAGUGUGUCAGAGGGGGGUAGAAUUCCACGUGUAGCAGUGAAAUGCGUAGAGAUGUGGAGGAAUACCGAUGGCGAAGGCAGCCCCCUGGGAUAACACUGACGCUCAUGCACGAAAGCGUGGGGAGCAAACAGGAUUAGAUACCCUGGUAGUCCACGCCCUAAACGAUGUCUACUAGUUGUCGGGUCUUAAUUGACUUGGUAACGCAGCUAACGCGUGAAGUAGACCGCCUGGGGAGUACGGUCGCAAGAUUAAAACUCAAAGGAAUUGACGGGGACCCGCACAAGCGGUGGAUGAUGUGGAUUAAUUCGAUGCAACGCGAAAAACCUUACCUACCCUUGACAUGUCUGGAAUCCUUGAGAGAUCAGGGAGUGCUCGAAAGAGAAUCAGAACACAGGUGCUGCAUGGCUGUCGUCAGCUCGUGUCGUGAGAUGUUGGGUUAAGUCCCGCAACGAGCGCAACCCUUGUCAUUAGUUGCUACGAAAGGGCACUCUAAUGAGACUGCCGGUGACAAACCGGAGGAAGGUGGGGAUGACGUCAAGUCCUCAUGGCCCUUAUGGGUAGGGCUUCACACGUCAUACAAUGGUACAUACAGAGGGCCGCCAACCCGCGAGGGGGAGCUAAUCCCAGAAAGUGUAUCGUAGUCCGGAUUGUAGUCUGCAACUCGACUACAUGAAGUUGGAAUCGCUAGUAAUCGCGGAUCAGCAUGUCGCGGUGAAUACGUUCCCGGGUCUUGUACACACCGCCCGUCACACCAUGGGAGCGGGUUUCACCAGAAGUGGGUAGCCUAACCGCAAGGAGGGCGCUCACCACGGUGGGAUUCGUGACUGGGGUGAAGUCGUAACAAGGUA